rnacentral:lncRNA from 1 species
AUGGGGUUUGGGGGACACGCUUGGGCCAGAUCUCCUGGCCCUUCUCUGCAGGCUGAUGAAAUUGGCAGGACUGGAGGAAAACGGCAGUCCAUUGCAAGAAUGUGUCAGUUUCUCGGAGAGAUCAUUUUUAUUGGCUUUCUGUUGGGAAGAUGGCAUAUCAUUUCACCCUAUAUGCUUCAGUUUCAAUAAAUGAAGAUUCCAAUAGUUGUUCAAUGUGUGUAGGCAUCCUUCAGUCUCGAAAGAGACUAUGCUAACAUGCUCUGUAUGGAGGUCUUGGAACAGUGUCUUGUGUGGCUGAGAAGGCCAUUUCGAGAGUGACAAUCCCUUGGCCAAUUCGAGAGUGACAAUCCCUUCCACACUGGAGACAAAGUUGUUCAAUGUAUACAUAGGUAAAGGUCCCCCCUGACAUUUAGUCCAAUUGUGUCCAACUCUAGGGCGCGCUGCUCAUCCCUGUCUCCAAGAUGUAGAACCAACGUUUGUCCAAAGACAGUUUCUGUGGUCAUGUGGCCAGUGCGACUAGACAUGAAAUGCAGUUACCUUCCCACCGAGGUGGCACCUAUUUAUCUUCUCGCAUUUUUACAUGCUUUUGAAUGGCUAGGUUGGCAGGAGCUGGGAAAAGCGAUGGGAGCCCAGUCCAUUGUGUGGAUUUGAUCUUACGACGGCUGGUCUUCUGACCCUGCAGCACAGAGGCUUCUGCGGUUUAAUCCGCAGCGCCACCACAUCCCUGAGUAUACAUAGGACCACCUUAAAUCUCACAGUACAUUCACGUUCACAGGAUGCUGUUGAACCACAAAAACCCAGGGUUCGUAUCUGGCCACCAGGGCUGCUGAACGUAAUCUUGAUAUCUGCUUGACAAUGGCAUUUUAUUCCAGCGAGAGAAGAUGUAUGUGACUCCUGCCAUGAAUGGAAAGUGUGGUUCAUUCCUCAUCAAACCCACUGCUACAACAUUAAUGUAUUAGAUUCUGCUUUGACCUGCCCUGUUUAAUUCGCCGCCGAGGCCCCAGCAACUGCGAAUCUACACCCUGGUGAAUGUGGAGGAGAGGUACCCAG